AAGACUAUAGACCUGCGGAGUACCUGCGGAGGGAUCAUUACCGAGUUAUACAACUCCCAAACCCACUGUGAACCUUACCUCAGUUGCCUCGGCGGGAACGCCCCGGCCGCCUGCCCCCGCGCCGGCGCCGGACCCAGGCGCCCGCCGCAGGGACCCCAAACUCUCUUGCAUUACGCCCAGCGGGCGGAAUUUCUUCUCUGAGUUGCACAAGCAAAAACAAAUGAAUCAAAACUUUUAGCA
rnacentral:misc_RNA from 1 species